rnacentral:rRNA from 1 species
UACGAAGGGGGCUAGCGUUGCUCGGAAUCACUGGGCGUAAAGGGUGCGUAGGCGGGUUUUUAAGUCAGAGGUGAAAUCCUGGAGCUCAACUCCAGAACUGCCUUUGAUACUGAAGAUCUUGAGUUCGGGAGAGGUGAGUGGAACUGCGAGUGUAGAGGUGAAAUUCGUAGAUAUUCGCAAGAACACCAGUGGCGAAGGCGGCUCACUGGCCCGAUACUGACGCUGAGGCACGAAAGCUAGGGGAGCAAACGGG